UUAAGCGACUAAGCGUACACGGUGGAUGCCCUGGCAGUCAGAGGCGAUGAAGGACGUGCUAAUCUGCGAUAAGCGUCGGUAAGGUGAUAUGAACCGUUAUAACCGGCGAUUUCCGAAUGGGGAAACCCAGUGUGAUUCGACACACUAUCAUUAACUGAAUCCAUAGGUUAAUGAGGCGAACCGGGGGAACCGAGACAUCUAAGUACCCCGAGGAAAAGAAAUCAACCGAGAUUCCCCCAGUAGCGGCGAGCGAACGGGGAGGAGCCCAGAGCCUGAAUCAGUGUGUGUGUUAGUGGAAGCGUCUGGAAAGGCGCGCGAUACAGGGUGACAGCCCCGUACACAAAAAUGCACAUGCUGUGAGCUCGAUGAGUAGGGCGGGACACGUGGUAUCCUGUCUGAAUAUGGGGGGACCAUCCUCCAAGGCUAAAUACUCCUGACUGACCGAUAGUGAACCAGUACCGUGAGGGAAAGGCGAAAAGAACCCCGGCGAGGGGAGUGAAAAAGAACCUGAAACCGUGUACGUACAAGCAGUGGGAGCACGCUUAGGCGUGUGACUGCGUACCUUUUGUAUAAUGGGUCAGCGACUUAUAUUCUGUAGCAAGGUUAACCGAAUAGGGGAGCCGAAGGGAAACCGAGUCUUAACUGGGCGUUAAGUUGCAGGGUAUAGACCCGAAACCCGGUGAUCUAGCCAUGGGCAGGUUGAAGGUUGGGUAACACUAACUGGAGGACCGAACCGACUAAUGUUGAAAAAUUAGCGGAUGACUUGUGGCUGGGGGUGAAAGGCCAAUCAAACCGGGAGAUAGCUGGUUCUCCCCGAAAGCUAUUUAGGUAGCGCCUCGUGAAUUCAUCUCCGGGGGUAGAGCACUGUUUCGGCAAGGGGGUCAUCCCGACUUACCAACCCGAUGCAAACUGCGAAUACCGGAGAAUGUUAUCACGGGAGACACACGGCGGGUGCUAACGUCCGUCGUGAAGAGGGAAACAACCCAGACCGCCAGCUAAGGUCCCAAAGUCAUGGUUAAGUGGGAAACGAUGUGGGAAGGCCCAGACAGCCAGGAUGUUGGCUUAGAAGCAGCCAUCAUUUAAAGAAAGCGUAAUAGCUCACUGGUCGAGUCGGCCUGCGCGGAAGAUGUAACGGGGCUAAACCAUGCACCGAAGCUGCGGCAGCGACGCUUAUGCGUUGUUGGGUAGGGGAGCGUUCUGUAAGCCUGUGAAGGUGUGCUGUGAGGCAUGCUGGAGGUAUCAGAAGUGCGAAUGCUGACAUAAGUAACGAUAAAGCGGGUGAAAAGCCCGCUCGCCGAAAGACCAAGGGUUCCUGUCCAACGUUAAUCGGGGCAGGGUGAGUCGACCCCUAAGGCGAGGCCGAAAGGCGUAGUCGAUGGGAAACAGGUUAAUAUUCCUGUACUUGGUGUUACUGCGAAGGGGGACGGAGAAGGCUAUGUUGGCCGGGCGACGGUUGUCCCGGUUUAAGCGUGUAGGCUGGUUUUCCAGGCAAAUCCGGAAAAUCAAGGCUGAGGCGUGAUGACGAGGCACUACGGUGCUGAAGCAACAAAUGCCCUGCUUCCAGGAAAAGCCUCUAAGCAUCAGGUAACAUCAAAUCGUACCCCAAACCGACACAGGUGGUCAGGUAGAGAAUACCAAGGCGCUUGAGAGAACUCGGGUGAAGGAACUAGGCAAAAUGGUGCCGUAACUUCGGGAGAAGGCACGCUGAUAUGUAGGUGAAGUCCCUCGCGGAUGGAGCUGAAAUCAGUCGAAGAUACCAGCUGGCUGCAACUGUUUAUUAAAAACACAGCACUGUGCAAACACGAAAGUGGACGUAUACGGUGUGACGCCUGCCCGGUGCCGGAAGGUUAAUUGAUGGGGUCAGCGCAAGCGAAGCUCUUGAUCGAAGCCCCGGUAAACGGCGGCCGUAACUAUAACGGUCCUAAGGUAGCGAAAUUCCUUGUCGGGUAAGUUCCGACCUGCACGAAUGGCGUAAUGAUGGCCAGGCUGUCUCCACCCGAGACUCAGUGAAAUUGAACUCGCUGUGAAGAUGCAGUGUACCCGCGGCAAGACGGAAAGACCCCGUGAACCUUUACUAUAGCUUGACACUGAACAUUGAGCCUUGAUGUGUAGGAUAGGUGGGAGGCUUUGAAGUGUGGACGCCAGUCUGCAUGGAGCCGACCUUGAAAUACCACCCUUUAAUGUUUGAUGUUCUAACGUUGACCCGUGAUCCGGGUUGCGGACAGUGUCUGGUGGGUAGUUUGACUGGGGCGGUCUCCUCCUAAAGAGUAACGGAGGAGCACGAAGGUUGGCUAAUCCUGGUCGGACAUCAGGAGGUUAGUGCAAUGGCAUAAGCCAGCUUGACUGCGAGCGUGACGGCGCGAGCAGGUGCGAAAGCAGGUCAUAGUGAUCCGGUGGUUCUGAAUGGAAGGGCCAUCGCUCAACGGAUAAAAGGUACUCCGGGGAUAACAGGCUGAUACCGCCCAAGAGUUCAUAUCGACGGCGGUGUUUGGCACCUCGAUGUCGGCUCAUCACAUCCUGGGGCUGAAGUAGGUCCCAAGGGUAUGGCUGUUCGCCAUUUAAAGUGGUACGCGAGCUGGGUUUAGAACGUCGUGAGACAGUUCGGUCCCUAUCUGCCGUGGGCGCUGGAGAACUGAGGGGGGCUGCUCCUAGUACGAGAGGACCGGAGUGGACGCAUCACUGGUGUUCGGGUUGUCAUGCCAAUGGCACUGCCCGGUAGCUAAAUGCGGAAGAGAUAAGUGCUGAAAGCAUCUAAGCACGAAACUUGCCCCGAGAUGAGUUCUCCCUGACUCCUUGAGGGUCCUGAAGGAACGUUGAAGACGACGACGUUGAUAGGCCGGGUGUGUAAGCGCAGCGAUGCGUUGAGCUAACCGGUACUAAUGAACCGUGAGGCUUAACCUU
rnacentral:rRNA from 1 species